AUUGAACGCUGGCGGCAGGCCUAACACAUGCAAGUCGAACGAGUGGCGGACGGGUGAGUAAUGUAUGGGCAACUGCCUGAUGGAGGGGGAUAACUACUGGAAACGGUAGCUAAUACCGCAUACCCUCAGAUGUGCCCAUAUGGGCUUAGCCAGUUGGUGGGGUAACGGCGCACCAAGGCGACGAUCCCUAGCUGGGCUGCGAGGAUGACCAGCCACACGGGAACUGAGACACGGUCCAAACUCCUACUGUAGGCAGCAGUGGGGAAUAUUGCACAAUGGGCGCAAGCCUGAUGCAGCCAUGCCGCGUGUAUGAAGAAGGCCUUCGGGUUGUAAAGUACUUUCAGCGGGGAGGCGUUACCCGCAGAAGAAGCACCGGCUAACUCCGUGCCAGCAGCCGCGGUAAUAC
rnacentral:rRNA from 1 species